rnacentral:rRNA from 1 species
GGUUAAGCGACUAAGCGUACACGGUGGAUGCCCUGGCAGUCAGAGGCGAUGAAGGGCGUGCUAAUCUGCGAUAAGCGCCGGUAAGGUGAUAUGAACCGUUAUAACCGGCGAUACCCGAAUGGGGAAACCCAGUGUGAUUCGUCACACUAUCAUUAACUGAAUCCAUAGGUUAAUGAGGCGAACCGGGGGAACUGAAACAUCUAAGUACCCCGAGGAAAAGAAAUCAACCGAGAUUCCCCCAGUAGCGGCGAGCGAACGGGGAGGAGCCCAGAGCCUGAAUCAGCAUGUGUGUUAGUGGAAGCGUCUGGAAAGGCGCGCGAUACAGGGUGACAGCCCCGUACACAAAAGCGCAUGUGCUGUGAGCUCGAUGAGUAGGGCGGGACACGUGGUAUCCUGUCUGAAUAUGGGGGGACCAUCCUCCAAGGCUAAAUACUCCUGACUGACCGAUAGUGAACCAGUACCGUGAGGGAAAGGCGAAAAGAACCCCGGCGAGGGGAGUGAAAAAGAACCUGAAACCGUGUACGUACAAGCAGUGGGAGCACCCUUCGGGGUGUGACUGCGUACCUUUUGUAUAAUGGGUCAGCGACUUAUAUUCUGUAGCAAGGUUAACCGUAUAGGGGAGCCGGAGGGAAACCGAGUCUUAACCGGGCGUUAAGUUGCAGGGUAUAGACCCGAAACCCGGUGAUCUAGCCAUGGGCAGGUUGAAGGUUGGGUAACACUAACUGGAGGACCGAACCGACUAAUGUUGAAAAAUUAGCGGAUGACCUGUGGCUGGGGGUGAAAGGCCAAUCAAACCGGGAGAUAGCUGGUUCUCCCCGAAAGCUAUUUAGGUAGCGCCUCGUGAAUUCAUCUCCGGGGGUAGAGCACUGUUUCGGCUAGGGGGCCAUCCCGGCUUACCAACCCGAUGCAAACUGCGAAUACCGGAGAAUGUUAUCACGGGAGACACACGGCGGGUGCUAACGUCCGUCGUGAAGAGGGAAACAACCCAGACCGCCAGCUAAGGUCCCAAAGUCAUGGUUAAGUGGGAAACGAUGUGGGAAGGCCCAGACAGCCAGGAUGUUGGCUUAGAAGCAGCCAUCAUUUAAAGAAAGCGUAAUAGCUCACUGGUCGAGUCGGCCUGCGCGGAAGAUGUAACGGGGCUAAACCAUGCACCGAAGCUGCGGCAGCGACGCUGAUGCGUUGUUGGGUAGGGGAGCGUUCUGUAAGCCUGCGAAGGUGACCUGUGAGGGUUGCUGGAGGUAUCAGAAGUGCGAAUGCUGACAUAAGUAACGAUAAAGCGGGUGAAAAGCCCGCUCGCCGGAAGACCAAGGGUUCCUGUCCAACGUUAAUCGGGGCAGGGUGAGUCGACCCCUAAGGCGAGGCCGAAAGGCGUAGUCGAUGGGAAACGGGUUAAUAUUCCCGUACUUGGUGUUACUGCGAAGGGGGGACGGAGAAGGCUAUGUUGGCCGGGCGACGGUUGUCCCGGUUUAAGCGUGUAGGUGUGUGUUCCAGGUAAAUCCGGUUCACUUUAACACUGAGGCGUGACGACGAGGCACUACGGUGCUGAAGCAACAAAUGCCCUGCUUCCAGGAAAAGCCUCUAAGCAUCAGGUAACACGAAAUCGUACCCCAAACCGACACAGGUGGUCAGGUAGAGAAUACCAAGGCGCUUGAGAGAACUCGGGUGAAGGAACUAGGCAAAAUGGUGCCGUAACUUCGGGAGAAGGCACGCUGACACGUAGGUGAAGUGAUUUACUCAUGGAGCUGAAGUCAGUCGAAGAUACCAGCUGGCUGCAACUGUUUAUUAAAAACACAGCACUGUGCAAACACGAAAGUGGACGUAUACGGUGUGACGCCUGCCCGGUGCCGGAAGGUUAAUUGAUGGGGUCAGCGCAAGCGAAGCUCCUGAUCGAAGCCCCGGUAAACGGCGGCCGUAACUAUAACGGUCCUAAGGUAGCGAAAUUCCUUGUCGGGUAAGUUCCGACCUGCACGAAUGGCGUAAUGAUGGCCAGGCUGUCUCCACCCGAGACUCAGUGAAAUUGAACUCGCUGUGAAGAUGCAGUGUACCCGCGGCAAGACGGAAAGACCCCGUGAACCUUUACUAUAGCUUGACACUGAACAUUGAGCCUUGAUGUGUAGGAUAGGUGGGAGGCUUUGAAGUGUGGACGCCAGUCUGCAUGGAGCCGACCUUGAAAUACCACCCUUUAAUGUUUGAUGUUCUAACGUGGACCCGUAAUCCGGGUUGCGGACAGUGUCUGGUGGGUAGUUUGACUGGGGCGGUCUCCUCCUAAAGAGUAACGGAGGAGCACGAAGGUUGGCUAAUCCUGGUCGGACAUCAGGAGGUUAGUGCAAUGGCAUAAGCCAGCUUGACUGCGAGCGUGACGGCGCGAGCAGGUGCGAAAGCAGGUCAUAGUGAUCCGGUGGUUCUGAAUGGAAGGGCCAUCGCUCAACGGAUAAAAGGUACUCCGGGGAUAACAGGCUGAUACCGCCCAAGAGUUCAUAUCGACGGCGGUGUUUGGCACCUCGAUGUCGGCUCAUCACAUCCUGGGGCUGAAGUAGGUCCCAAGGGUAUGGCUGUUCGCCAUUUAAAGUGGUACGCGAGCUGGGUUUAGAACGUCGUGAGACAGUUCGGUCCCUAUCUGCCGUGGGCGCUGGAGAACUGAGGGGGGCUGCUCCUAGUACGAGAGGACCGGAGUGGACGCAUCACUGGUGUUCGGGUUGUCAUGCCAAUGGCACUGCCCGGUAGCUAAAUGCGGAAGAGAUAAGUGCUGAAAGCAUCUAAGCACGAAACUUGCCCCGAGAUGAGUUCUCCCUGAGACUUAGAGUCUCCUGAAGGAACGUUGAAGACGACGACGUUGAUAGGCCGGGUGUGUAAGCGCAGCGAUGCGUUGAGCUAACCGGUACUAAUGAACCGUGAGGCUUAACCUU